rnacentral:lncRNA from 1 species
AGGUUGCAAAUUGUCUACAUUUGGCUAAGUCUUUGGACGUUAGUUGUCACGAAUGAGGAUCUGUCACAGAUAGAUUGCUCCAGCAGAAAUUCCCUCCUGACCCCAGCUCCCUCCCUCUGGUCUCUGAGAUUGACCUGUGGCCUGCAACAUUAGCCAGCUGUCUAUGGGGAUGUGAUAGGGCACAGUUAGUCCAGGAAACCUACAGCAGACAGUUAAGUAUGAUGUACACCCAUUUAGUGCAGAGCAACAGGAGAAGGAACGGAGGCCGCCUUUUGCGCUGGAGGCUUCCUCAGGGCUGAGUCAGCAUGCCAGUCUCCUGGGGCGAGUUAGUGCGGCCUUUCUGAUUCUGGCCUCUAACCCAGACCCCACUCAGGCGUCUUGAAGGCGGUUGCUGUUCUUGCAGUGACUGGCACUGAAGAGGGUAAAGAGGCUUGAGCCAUUCCUGGGUCUACUCUGUGGGACCCGGGGGCCUUUUUCUUCCUUUCUUUUUUUUUUUUCUUUUUGUUUUAAACAUAGCACAAUACAGCCUCACCACUAAACAAGUCACCCAGUUCAUAGUUUCUACUGAAUUUGCAAACUACUCUUAACUUCUUUCAAUAACCACUUUCAUCAUCGACCGUGAGGGGUGGAAGAGGUGCCCUGUGUCUCUGCAAUAAAACUUGUGCCAGGUUCUACCUCCUUGUGCAAAGGGUAUUUUACAUAAAGGCGCUGGGCUUCCUUCCCGACCUGACAUGGUGCAUCUGGAGACAUCUGCAGGAGUCCAGAGACCUUUCCAAAUGACGUCAGAUGUAGACUCUCGGGUGGCCUCUGUCUUCGUCCGUUUCCUUUCGUACUGCUGCGCUGCAUAGGACUAUCCAUCCGGAGGAAAAGUACAUGCUUUUUCCACGCCGCCUGCCACGUUGCUGCCUUCAGCCUCUCCUGGGAACCUGCUCCCCAGUGUCCAGAACUCAGUGCUACCAUCAUUUUGAUAUGUAACUUUCGAAUUCAGUCUCAUGCAAUACAAGUGUGUCCGCCUCACUGAGCAGAGCUCAUUUGUCCUCAAGUAGAAAAUGCUUGAUCCUCACACGGAAAGUACUCUCUGUAUUUAGGUUUUUGUUGUGGUUUUGUGGUUUUGUUUUUGUUUUUGGUUUGUUUUUUUUUUUUCAUUUUUGUUUGGAUUUCGUUUCUGUUUUUGUAAAAUUCUUAAAUAAAAUUAAACAAAUAGAC